rnacentral:sRNA from 1 species
UAGCAUUUUUGACAGGUCAUAAGAGCAA